rnacentral:rRNA from 1 species
UACGAAGGGUGCAAGCGUUACUCGGAAUUACUGGGCGUAAAGGGUGCGUAGGUGGUUCUUUAAGUCUGCUGUGAAAGCCCCGGGCUCAACCUGGGAAUGGCAGUGGAUACUGUUGUGCUAGAGUGCGGAAGGGGCUACUGGAAUUCUCGGUGUAGCGGUGAAAUGCGUAGAUAUCGAGAGGAACACCUGCGGCGAAGGCGGGUAGCUGGGCCGACACUGACGCUGAUGCGCGAAAGCCAGGGGAGCGAACGGG